rnacentral:rRNA from 1 species
GGCCGGGUCCAAUUCCCUUGGAACAGGGAGUCAUGGAGGGUGAGAACCCCGUCUGUGACUCGUACCCCAUCGGCCUAGUGUCGCGGACUCCAAGAGUCGGGUUGUUUGGGAAUGCAGCUCAAAAUGGGUGGUAAAUCUCAUCUAAAGCUAAAUAUUGGCGAGAGACCGAUAGCAAACAAGUAGAGUGAUCGAAAGAUGAAAAGCACUUUGAAAAGAGAGUGAAACAGUACGUGAAAUUGUUGAAAGGGAAGCGUUUGGCAUCAGCCCAUGGCCUCCGACGAUCAUCCGGGCCUCGUGUCCGGUGCACUUGUCGGGGGUCGGGCCAGCAUCGGCUUCGUCCGUCGGAGAAAGGUCCAGAGGACGUGGCUCCCUCACGGGAGCGUUAUAACUCUGGGCGUCAUACGACGUGACGGGGCCGAGGUCCACGGUGUUCUCACCCAGGAUGCUGGCGUAAUGGUUCCAAGCGACCCGUCUUGAAACACGGACCAAGGAGUCUAA